AUCCGUUUAAUCCAUUCACUCUUACUUGUAUUUUCAUCCACGUACCAUUACUUUUGCACAGUAUAUUCAAUGUUAUCAUAUCUGUCUCUUUUAACUCCUCUUUUGCCAUGCCCACCACUGCCGUAACAACUUGCUUUUAGAGGGAUAGAGACUCUGUGGGAGAGUGGCUGAAGCCAUGUAUUUUUUUUCAUGCUCUGUUUUUGCUCUGACCGAAUUGAUGAAACAAGACCCAGUACCAGCGUUCCUCAUUCUCGGUUGAGUCGACUUCUGACUCUAACGAAAAAACUUUCUAGAAUAUAAGUACUUGUUUGCCGAUUAGAAUCUUAUGGCGUCACUUCUAGGUACUGGAAUGAUGAAGAUGUUUUAAUGAAAGUGGGUGAAGCCAUGGGUCUGGCAGUCUCUGAAGAUGCUACUGCUUCUACUGGGCAUCCAGUUGCAGAUGGCCGAAAGAUUAAAGAAUCAUAUAUCAGUUAGCAAAUGUUCAAGCUGAGAGUCAGUUAGCCAUUACUUACUAGCCGACUAUCUGGAGUCAUGAUUAUAUCCGGGUGUUAGAUGAUAAUUUUCCGAUGAAGUUUGAUGAGAAGGUCUGGGAGCUAGAGAAGAAGACGAUAAUGUUGUUGAAUGUUGAUUUUGAAAAUGGUAGUUUCACUAUGUUGGAGUUGCUUGAACAGAGAGAUGAUAUUGAAAGGUUGGGUCUUGGCUAUCGGUUCCAAAACGAUAUAAGGAGAGCACUGGACAUAAUCAUGUCAAUACAUGGAACUAAUAUCGGGCUUGAAGAAAAGAAAGAUAGUCUUCAUGAUACUUCUUUUAUGUGAACAUGGCUGGAUGUAAAUUGUAAAUGCUUUCUCUGUACCAACAAUUUGUAUUGAUGAUCUUAAAGAGGGCAUUUUGGAAACUAUUCAUGUUAAGAUUUUCUUUUUUUAAAUUCAUGAUGAAAGAAGCUGACAUCAUACUGGAAAAAGGUUAUUAUUUUCUUAAUGCAGUUAGUGUAAGUGAAAUUGAGGCACUUUAUGAGUUAUUUAAGAAGAUAAGCAGUGUAGUCAUUGAUGAUGGGCUAAUUAAUAAUGCAUAUAGUUCUGCCUCCAGAAGUUGCAAAGCUUCUUCCGAAGAAUCGUCUUUUAGCCGAGGUAUAUGUUGUUGAUUUUGAUGACUUAUUAGGUUUUUUUAAUCGUUUGAGUUGAUUGAUUAUUAUGUUUUUGAAGUGUAUAUGUUCAGAUUAACAUCAUCAUGAUCAGUUGAUUGAUUAUUAUGUUUUUGAAGUGUAUAUGUUCAAGAAAGUGUAUAAGUAUAAAAGUUUUCGGAUCUCGACUAUGAUGAUAACUGGAUCACCAGGCAUGUAUACUUUCUUAUCCGCCUCUAACUUCAACAACGGCUGCACACCUACCAGGUGUUCGACAAAAUGCCUGAAAGAAAGAUGUUUACUUUUUUUUCUUAGUCUAUUAACUGCAGCAAGCAUGGAUGUCUUUGACUACAACAAAUGAGCCGUGCUUGAGCCUAUAACAAUUUAUUACAAUUUAUUAUCUAACGAGCCGAGCUUGAGCCUAUAACAAAGCUCGAUUAUUUUUUGAGCUCGAGCCUGACAUGUGAAGCUCGUCAGGCUCUUCGAGCCUUAUUGAGCCUAAUGUAAUAUUAAUUUUAUUAAUAUUUAAUAACAUUUACCCCAUAUAUAAAUUUUUUUAGUAAACGAGUGAAGCCGAGCUUUUUUAAGCUUCUUUACGAGCCGAGCCCGAACCUAAAAAUAAGCUUGUUUGAUAAACAAGCCCAAGCCCGAGCUUCACUUAUAGGUAAAAGUAAAAUAAUUAGCGCGAAAAGUUUGUGGAUUUACUUAAAACUUAAGUUUUAAUUUUAAAUAACAGAAUACAUAGUUAAUUACUGUUUACCUGCAAUAUUUGAUUAGACCAGACCAUAAUACAUCUUGAAUUCAUAUGAAUUUGGUGCUGCAGGUUUAAAAUGGGGAGAACAAGCAACAUAUGGCAACCCCUUCAGUAAAAAGAAGAUGCCAUGAUCAAAGUCCAAAAAGCCCAGCAUCACUAAUGAAUGAGAUCAAAUUUUGUAACUGGAUCAGGUGUCAACAUCAUAUGAUGCACUGUUAGAUAUUGCCGGUGGGAAAGUUAAUAUUGAUGUAUUAAUGGCUCUUACUGCAUUUGCAUCUGCAUUUAUGGGGAAUCCACUAGAAGGAGGCUUGCUUCUAGCAUUGUUGAAUUUGGCUCGCGUCGCUGAAGAGUAUUUCACCAGUCGGUCAAAAGUUGAUGUCAAGGAGUUGAAAGAGAACUAUCCAGAGUUCGCCUUCGUACUUGAAGUUAACAACCAAAAGUUAUUAACCUGUAAAAAGUUGUUGAUGAAACUGCGGGCAAAGGUUAUAGCGGCAUUUCAUCUAAAGGACAGUCUCUGUAAUAGUUGAAUACGAAGCCGCGGACAAAGGCUAUAGCGGCCUUUCACCUAAAGGCCGGUCUCUAUAACUUAUUGAAUACUCUUGCAUGUUAUUGAGCUUUAGAUUAUGCUUUGUUGUUUAGUUGUUGUUGUAGAAGCUGAUACUAGAUGUAAUUAUGCAUCUCUUAUUUAAGUAGAUGUAAUGUAUGCAUCUCUUUUUCAAGUAGAUGUAAUUUGGCGAAACAGAGAUUAAAUAUCUGUUUUAGAUACCGCAAA